rnacentral:lncRNA from 1 species
UUUUGGUAUAUAUUUAUUUAUUUACUUUUUGUCUUUUUAUCUUUUUAGGGCUGCAAUCACAGCAUAUGGAGGUUCCCAGGCUAGGGGGGUCCAAUUGGAGCUACAGCUGCCAGCCUACGCCAGAUGGCCCAAGAAAUGGCAAAAAGACAGGAAAAAAAAACAAACAAACAAACAAACAAAAAACUUUUUCAUGACAAUGGCAUUCCAUCAGAAAAAAGUGCCUAAUUCUUCUAAUAUUUUUCUUCUUGCUCUUUUAGCUAUUUUUCAUUUUUUGCUAUUAUAUCACAUUAUGAUGAAUUUUUUAUGCACAUAUAUUUUUGCCUAUAUUUAAUUAUUUCUUUAAAUUAGCAUUAGAAAGCUCCUGAGGAUUAAGUUAUUGAGUUAAAAAUAUUAGAAAAUAUAUUAAAACAAUGUAUAUUGUAACAUUACUCUUGAUAAUUUUCUCUGCCAAUAUAGUUUCUCCAAAAAUGACCAAAAGUACUUAAAAAAAAAAACCCUAGAAUAUUUUUCAAACAUGGAAGGCUUUAAUUUAAAGAAAAGGUAUUAGAGAUGGGAUUAAGAUGGCUGAAGAGAAGGACUGGAGCUCAACUUCUCUCUUAAAAACAACAAAACUUACAACCAAAUGCUGAGCAAUCUUCAACCAAAUGGACUGUAAACUUUCAAAAAGAUAUACUACUCCAGAAGACAAAGAUGAGGCCACAUCAAGAGGUAGGAGGGGUGAUUACAUGAUAUAAGCAACCCCAUACCUCCCGGGUGGGAAGCCCCACAGACUGGAAAGUAACUGGUUUACAGAGAGUCACCUACAGAAGUGAGAGUUCUGAGCCUCACAUCAAACUGCCACACAUGGGGAUCUGGCACUGGGAGAAAGAGCCCCUGGAGCAUCUGGCAUUGAAGGCCAGUGAGGCUAAUGUGCAGGAGCUCCACGGGACUGGGGGAAAUGGAGACCCCAUUCUUAAAAGGCCCACACAGACUUUCAUGUGCACUGGGUACUAGGGCAAAGCUAAGUCUCCACAGGAAUCUGGAUCAGACCUGCCUGCAGUUCUUGGAGGACCUCCUGGGAAAACAGGGGUGAAUGUGGCUUGUAGGGGAAGGACAUUGGAAGCAAAGCUUUUGAGAAUACUCCUCAGUGUGCCUUUCUCUGGAGGUGGCCAUUUUGGGAAAAUGUGGCCCCAGCCAUCAGUGCUGAGAAGCCCCAGGCCAGACAACAAUCCAGGUGGGAUCACAGACCCACCUCUCAGUAAACAGCCUGCCUAAACAACCCCCCCCCC